rnacentral:rRNA from 1 species
CGACGUGCCUAAGGUAUGCAAGUCGAAUGCCGAUUUAUCGGCAUGGCAGGCGGCUGAGUAACACAUGGGAAUCUACCUCAAACUCGAGAAUAGCCCAUCGAAAGGUGGUGUAAUACUCGAUAGUUCCGUUUACGGUAAAGCUCCGGCGGUUUGAGAUGAGCCCAUGUCCUAUCAGGUUGUUGGUGGGGUAAUUGCCUACCAAGCCUAUGACGGGUAGCUGGUUCGAGAGGAUGAUCAGCCAGACUGGGACUGCGAUACGGCCCAGACUCCUACGGGAGGCAGCAACUAGGAAUCAUGCGCAAUGGACGAAAGUCUGACGCUGCGACGUCGCGUGAGGGAUGAAGGUCUUCGGAUCGUAAACCUCUUUUAUCUGGGAACAAGUUCUGAGUGUACCAGAUGAAUAAGUGCCUGCCAACCACGUGCCAGAAGCAUCGGUAGUGCGUGGGGCACGAGCGUUAUCCGGAUUUACUGGGCGUAAAGAGAUGCGUAGGCGCCUUUUUAAGUCACUUGUAAAAUCUCCCCGCUCAACGGGGAAACUGCAAGUGAUACUGAAUUGGUUGAGUCAAGUAGAGGAGAGGGGAAUUCCUGGUGGAGCGGUUAAAUGCGUUGAUAUCAGGAGGAAUACCAAGUGCGAAGGCACCUCUCUGGACUUGUACUGACGCUAAGGCUCGAAAGUGUGGGGAGCAAAACGGAUUAGAUACCCGUGUAGUCCACACUGUAAACGAUCCCUGCUAGAUGUUUG